UGUGUGUAAUUGUGUGCACAAAAGUUAAUGCAGUGGCCCUAAAUGGACGCUGCCACCCAGUGUCUGUGUAGGUUGCCAGUGUUCUCACAUGCACUCAGCAGGGGAAUGAAGGUAAGGGGCUGGAGCACCAGUCCACUACAGCACAAGGAAUUUGCACAAACUGGAGUUCAUGUGAGUUGAUGUCUUCCUGUUAGCUAAAAGAUCCUAAGAGAAGUAAAAAAGUGAUAUAUCUUUGCAAGUAGGGUUCUAGUCUGCAGCUUUGUUUAGUUGACUAAUCUGGACACAGCGUUCUACUUGAAGAGCCAUGAGAGAGCUGCUAAUGAGAAUUGUGCUGUCUUCUGAGCUGUUGAGACAUGAAGAGAGAAUCACUCAGCUUUAGUGCUAUGGUCCUCUUGUCCCCUGCUCGUAAGGCAUCCUCCCACAAUGUGAAUUUUACUAAGGUGUGGCAGAGACCAGUCCAUUAUAUGGAACGGAUCAUCAGUUUCCUUUACUAUCAAAAACUGAACCUUAUUUGGGGUAUCCUUGAGGACCAUCCCUUCCACAUAUGCUGAAAGUCUGACUAUGAGAAGGAGGAAAAAGAAAUGGACAAGGGAGGAUGUGUUGUUUGAGCUGUUUAAUAUUUUUGAGUUUGGAGCCCAUGAUACCAGGGCAUGGAAGGAACAAAAGCUGGAGGAAAGGCAGAAGGGCAGAAGUUCUCCAAAACAUCAUGCAGCACCUCAGAUAAACACAGAUGUUCCAACAUUUUAUGGAGUAGAGCAUGCAGAGGCCUCAGCAGCCAUUUCACAAGGUGGACAAUUCCUGCUUCUGGGCCACAGCAUAAACCCUUCCUCAAGGCACCAAAAUUCCCUGAAACACUUUCCCUUCCAUACUUCACCAGUGGACAAUGAGGACUGCUAUGAGUACACAUACACUAACCUGUGAUACAGUUCAGAGCAGUCAGCAUUUUGCACUUUUUUUUAGUAGUUUGUUUAUUACUGUACAGUAAAGAUUCACUGUUUUUGAAAAACAUUUAUUUUCUCUACAAGAUAGAGAUGUAACCCCACUGCUCCCCAAGUCACUAAUUCCUCCUAAGAGUCAUAAAAGUUCAUAAAUAUCCAUAGCCUGGACAUGUACCAUAUACGCACAAAGUGACAAAAAAUGGACAAAGCAGCACACUGUUUGCCUAUGGCACACUGUCAAGUGUGUUCUUACAACUUCCGUCGAUUGGAUGCCCUUGUGUUAGGAUAUUCAAAAUCUUCAGACAGUCUUUCCACUUUCCUUCUCCUCCCUGCUGGUAGCAUUUUCCCCUUGGCCUCACACAUAUUAUGUAAAAACACAACAUGCAGUAAUAACAAUAGAAUAUUAGGUUCACUGAGAUCCAGCCUAGUCAUAAAACAUCUCCACUGCUCCUUUAAUCUGUCAGAUACACAAUCCAUAGUUAUCCUGCAGCUGCCAGUGGUUCUCAACCUAUUUACCAUUGUGGGCCACAUAUGUGGCCCAUAAUGUGUUAUGUGGACUGCAUCCAAUACUCCCUGUAUAGCCCUGAUGAUGUCACAUGGGCCGCAGCUGUGUGCUGAUUGCACCGCAGGUUAAGAACUACUGGAAGAGUUAAAU